CGCGGCCUAUCAGCUUGUUGGUGAGGUAAUGGCUCACCAAGGCGUCGACGGGUAGCCGGCCUGAGAGGGUGACCGGCCACACUGGGACUGAGACACGGCCCAGACUCCUACGGGAGGCAGCAGUGGGGAAUAUUGCACAAUGGGCGAAAGCCUGAUGCAGCAACGCCGCGUGAGGGAUGACGGCCUUCGGGUUGUAAACCUCUUUUAGCAGGGAAGAAGCGAGAGUGACGGUACCUGCAGAAAAAGCGCCGGCUAACUACGUGCCAGCAGCCGCGGUAAUACGUAGGGCGCAAGCGUUAUCCGGAAUUAUUGGGCGUAAAGAGCUCGUAGGCGGUUUGUCGCGUCUGCUGUGAAAUCCCGAGGCUCAACCUCGGGCCUGCAGUGGGUACGGGCAGACUAGAGUGCGGUAGGGGAGAUUGGAAUUCCUGGUGUAGCGGUGGAAUGCGCAGAUAUCAGGAGGAACACCGAUGGCGAAGGCAGAUCUCUGGGCCGUAACUGACGCUGAGGAGCGAAAGGGUGGGGAGCAAACAGGCUUAGAUACCCUGGUAGUCCACCCCGUAAACGUUGGGAACUAGUUGUGGGGUCCAUUCCACGGAUUCCGUGACGCAGCUAACGCAUUAAGUUCCCCGCCUGGGGAGUACGG
rnacentral:rRNA from 1 species